rnacentral:snRNA from 1 species
AUACCUUUCUUGGCCUUCUGGCUAAGAUCAGGCGUACUAUCUGUUCCCUAUCCUGUCAAAUAUAAUUUUGCAUCAUUGGAUUUCCAGAGAGGUAGAUGUCGGUCUUAGUUGAUUAAUCACAUGUUUUGUAUGGUGGAUCCAGAAUGUCUAUCUUGACUUCCAUUUACCAGGUUCAAAAGUCUAGUGU